GAUGAAGAACGUAGCGAAAUGCGAUAAGUAAUGUGAAUUGCAGAAUUCAGUGAAUCAUCGAAUCUUUGAACGCACAUUGCGCCCCCCAGUAUUCUGGCGGGCAUGCCUGUUCGAGCGUCAUUUCAACCAUCAAGCCCUGCUUGUGUUGGGGUCCUGCGGCUGCCCGCAGGCCCUGAAAACCAGUGGCGGGCUCGCUAGUCACACCGAGCGCAGUAGCACAUCUCGCUCAGGGCGUGCGGCGGGCUCCAGCCGUUAAAGCACCCACCUUUCGCAAGGUUGACCUCGGAUCAGGUAGGAAUACCCGCUGAACUUAAGCAUAUCAGUAAGCGGAGGA
rnacentral:misc_RNA from 1 species